rnacentral:rRNA from 1 species
CGGGGUGGAGUAAUGUCUGGGAAACUGCCUGAUGGAGGGGGAUAACUGCUGGAAACGGUAGCUAAUACCGCAUAACGUCGCAAGACCAAAGAGGGGGACCUUCGGGCCUCUUGCCAUCGGAUGUGCCCAGAUGGGAUUAGCUAGUAGGUGGGGUAACGGCUCACCUAGGCGACGAUCCCUAGCUGGUCUGAGAGGAUGACCAGCCACACUGGAAUUGAGACACGGUCCAG